rnacentral:rRNA from 1 species
UACGUAGGGAGCGAGCGUUGUCCGGAUUUACUGGGUGUAAAGGGUGCGUAGGCGGCUCUGCAAGUCAGGUGUGAAAACCAUCGGCUUAACUGAUGGACUGCAUUUGAAACUGUGGGGCUUGAGUGAAGUAGAGGCAGACGGAAUUCCCGGUGUAGCGGUGAAAUGCGUAGAGAUCGGGAGGAACACCAGUGGCGAAGGCGGUCUGCUGGGCUUUAACUGACGCUGAGGCACGAAAGCAUGGGUAGCAAACAGGAUUAGAUACCCUGGUAGUCCAUGCCGUAAACGAUGAUUACUAGGUGUGGGGGGUCUGACCCCCUCCGUGCCGGAGUUAACACAAUAAGUAAUCCACCUGGGAAGUACGACCGCAAGGUUGAA